ACAACUUGCAGUGUGUUAUGGAGAAUCCUUGGUGUUUGUUUGCUUCUCCUUCACUAGCUAGUUCGUGCGCAUAAUUUUUCACAAUGCCAACAUCCAAAUCUGUAACAACUGACGAGAGCAAGGUAACCUGACUUUGGAUGAAGAAGUGCAUUGGAUUGAAAGCUCUGCCUAAUUCUAGGAUGCUACUUUCAAAACAAGGUAGACCGUGGAGGAUUUCCAAUGAAGUAAAAAACGCAUGAUUUUGGCCCUAUGACUUCCCACAUAUAUGUGCCUGUAUUUCUAUGUCUAGCAAACUAGGAUAUUGUAUUUGUGCUAUAUGUGAUUAUUGUUGGUGGCAACUUGUGAAUAUUUUGAUUUGGUAUUUGAAAAUGAUAUGGCCUUCAUGGGCUGGUAUUUGUGCUA